UGGCGGACGGGUGAGUAAUGUCUGGGAAACUGCCUGAUGGAGGGGGAUAACUACUGGAAACGGUAGCUAAUACCGCAUAACGCGCAAGACCAAAGAGGGGGACCUUCGGGCCUCUUGCCAUCGGAUGUGCCCAGAUGGGAUUAGCUAGUAGGUGGGGUAAAGGCUCACCUAGGCGACGAUCCCUAGCUGGUCUGAGAGGAUGACCAGCCACACUGGAACUGAGACACGGUCCAG
rnacentral:rRNA from 1 species